rnacentral:rRNA from 1 species
AGAGUUUGAUCCUGGCUCAGGAUGAACGCUGGCGGCGUGCCUAGCACAUGCAAGUCGAACGUGAUCCCGUUUUCGGAUGGGUGAAAGUGGCGAACGGGUGAGUAACACGUUGGUGACCUGCCCCGAAGAGGGGGAUAACUCUGGGAAACCAGAGCUAAAACCCCAGAUGUUUAAGAGUUUAGACGCCUUAAACUAAAACCUUGGUGCUUCGGGAGGGGCCUGCGGGCUAUCAGCUAGUUGGUGGGGUAAAGGCCUACCAAGGCGAAGACGGCUAGGGGGCGUGAGAGCGUGACCCCCCACAAUGGAACUGAGAAACGGUCCAUACUCCUACGGGAGGCAGCAGUGAGGAAUAUUGCACAAUGGGCGCAAGCCUGAUGCAGCAACGCCGCGUGGAUGAUGAAGGCCUUCGGGUUGUAAAAUCCUUUUCUGGGGAAAGAUAAUGACGGUACCCCAGAAUAAGUC